ensembl:snoRNA
AUCCUUCUUUAGUUCCUAAACGUGAUGAUUGGGUUUUCAUGUACAUGUGUGAGAUGUGCCUCCCUCAAAACUUGUUACAACAUUGGCACAUUACCCGUCUGACA